GGAUCGCCAGCACAUGGCACCGGACGAGGCACACCCGUACCCGGCCAGCGACAAGACGGGAUGUU
rnacentral:ncRNA from 1 species